UGAGUGGUCACGGUUUAGAAGAUUUCGAAAGGUAUAUUAAUUUAAUACUAGUAAACAGUUUUAGUCCUCAAUAAUGAGGUGUGUUGUAGCCUGUAGCAAAAGAGACGAUGUGGCAGACAACGAAGCAUACCCCGCGAAUAAUUUGACUUCAAAAACACCAAGGAAGCUUAGCCGGUUAAUCGGACGCAUACGUGGUGGUCGAAACAUGGCCGUGGCAAGAUUGAACAAAAUUGGAGGAUCAACCCUGGAGACCGAGCUUUUGCCAUGUCGUCCAUGUAAUAACGAAACACGGCGUGUCAAGCUAAUUGCCUUGCUGUAAUUAAACAAAAUAAUUUCAGAUCAAAGGCGGGCAUUUUAUCCGUUAAUUUUAAUUUGUUUCACUAUUUUUUUCAAUUCAAUCCAAAAAGUCGAUAUACAAGCAAACCAAAUAUUAAAAAUAAAUCUUGUUAAAAACGUAGAAAAUUACAAAUACUAAAAAAAUAGAGCCAGAUUUCUGCUCUAUUCUAACUUACAAAUAUACGUAUAUCCAAAACUAAAUAUAUAAUUUUAAAUAUAUAAUUUGAUAUAAUUAUUAAUAUAACAUAUAAUUUAUUAAUGUUUAUAAAGUAUUAAAUUUUAAAAAUAAAUUGAAAAUCUUUAUUAAAAUGUAAUUAUGGAAAGACAUUUUUGUGAAUAUAACAAAACAAAUUCACAGUUUUGACAAUAAAACUUAAAUUGUGAUUUUAGCGAAAAAUAAAAUUUUAUAGUUUUGACAAAAAAACCUGGUAAUUUAAAUGAAAAAUGAAAAUUUAUGGAAUAAAAAGAAAUAGGAUAUGUUUUUUUGGGGAGAAAGUGAGAUUUUGUGCUGUGUAAAAAGAAAAAAGGUUUAUAUGAUUUAAAUAAGGAAAAUUAGGCUGUAUAACGCUACAAUAAUGCAUAAUUAGUUUGAUAAUUAUCCUAGUUUUUCUAUAUACCGAUACAAUUUUAUGUAAUAUUGAUGUUUUGUCCCUAACCCCAACCGACUAAACCUACCGAAAAGAAAAUUAAAAAUUCUUAAUUUGAAAAUGUACUACAAGAAAACACAAGAUUAACGACGGCAAAACUCAUAGUAAGUUUUACGAGGAAUUAGCGAAAAAACAAGUUUCGUCGUUAUUCAUUCGUCGUAACGCAUAUUUCCUCGUAAACUAGCGAGAAACACAUUUCGUCUUACGGUGAAGAAAAGUAUUCGUCAUAAAAACCAUGUAACCUUUCCCCGUAAGGAGGACGCUACAUUUCCUCGUAAAUACCUCGAAAGUAACUUCUCGUAAAUUACACGUAAACCCUUCCACGUAAAAUACUCGUUAAACUUUUCUCGUAGUGUUGACGUAAACGUUUUCCUCGUAACUUUCUCGUACACUUUCCACGUAAUGUAGUCGUAAUUUAGCUAUGAAUUUACUUCGAUAUUUUAUACAUAAAUAAGUUUUGAAUUUAUAAUACAACCAACGAAAAGAAAAAAAAAAGAACUAAGGAUCGUUCAUCGCCCGGUAGAAUUCCUCACUCCUCCUCUCUACAUCCGCCUCGUCAUGUGUGCCGGAUGACUCGCUUCGAAUGGGAUUUUGUCGUCGCAUGUUCCUCAACAAGGACUCCCAUUCCAGAUUUGUGGCCACUACAACGUCCAAGAAGCCCUCAACUCCACUCAUACGAGAUGUGAACGAAGAUCGCGUCGAGUCCAAAUCGUUACGCAGCUGAGUGACUUCAUCAUCCCGUCUCUAACCAUAAGACAAUGUCGCUCUCGGAACAUCGUUGAUGGAACCAAUCCCCAACGUAUGUCCAUUUUUCUUAGGAACAGCCUUAAAAACAAAAAAUAAAUAUUGUUAGUUAAAAGUUAAAGUUAAAUUAAAUGAAUAAUAAAAAAAAAAAAAUUUAAAAAAUUACCUCCUCGUAAAUCCUAUCCACUUCAAGUGUGGAUAAGGUGACAGGUAAUCCGUCGGUGGACUCCUCGGUCAGCUGGGCCUGGCGGUCUUCAACCCGACCAACCAAGUCGUUGAAGAUCUGCUCGGACCUAGCAUCUAGAAAUUGGCCCGCCUUGUUCUUAUGGGUUCUCUCGUCUCUUUGGCCUAAAAAACAUUUAAGAAAGUUAGAAUAUAUAUAUAUAUAUAUAAUUAAUAAAAUUAAAUAUUUAAUUACCAUAUCCAGACGGACACCGGCGUGGAGUUUUUGACCCGUAGAGUGAAGCAUCGGCCCGUGGCCGUGCUCAUCUACCAUCUGACGAGGGGGGGGAGAGCAAGAUUCGGCGACUCUAAUGGAGUCAGGAUCCCGCCAAUAACAGAUGAGGCCAUCCCACACCUCCGUGGUGAGCUCAGAGGGUUUACAACGUUCAUACCCCUUCACGAUCCAAUCACCCUUCUAGUUAGAGACCGUGUCCAACAAGCGAGCUUUCGUCUUUGCGUUAAACUCUUUCUUCACCUUCUCAUUGACCCCCAUGGACCAAUAGUAUUUUUUCUGUAACAGAAAAAAUUAAAUUAAUAAUUAGUUUUAAAAAAUUAAAAAAUCUAAAU